CUUCCAAAAUACAGACCCUUCUAUCAAUUGGUUUCGCAAAUAGUAAAAAAACCAUAUCGAAAGUGAAAAAUGGGGAAGCAACGGGGAAGGGCCGGGCCAUUGUUAUUUAGCACCAGUGUCAUCUUUAAAACUGUACAAUGAUGAAAAUACCCCUAUUUUAUAAAGAGGAAACUAAGAAAAAGACGCCAAACUCAAUCACUCGACCUCUUUUCCUUAAACUUGCAAUCCACACUUCCCUGAGUCUCAUUUUAGCCCCCUUUUGUUUUAGCUGAAAGAGAUGGCAGUGGUGCUGGCAAUGGUGGUUCAUGGCAUGGGAUUGCUUGUGAAGACUCUUUGGGGUGUGCAAGAGAGGCGCUUCUCUGCAACUUUUGAAACUCUGCGUUCAGCUGCUAUUUCCAUGACAACAGCGUUUGUUUUCUGCCUUUUGUCCAUUCAUAGGCAUGCAAGACCAGAGAUUGGUCUUGCCUUCAUUUGAUCAUUUUUUUUCUUUUUCGUUCUUGAAUUUUAUUGACUGUCCAUCUGUCAGUAAUUUAAGAUCAGUUUGUUCUAUAGAAUUGCUUUCUUGUAGCACUUCAAGCUUUUCUUACUGAUCAACAAGAUUAUAUGUGUAAUAUACCAGAAUAUAUAUUCAUAUUUAUAUUUACCAACAUUUUGUAAAAUUUGGUCAUUAUUAGCAAAGAUUGAUGGAGUCAUUCAUGUAUUUUUCAAGUUGCAGUGUGGUUGUUAGUUAUAAACUUUUGUUGUAUUUUUUUUAAAGAGAAUUUUCUAAGCAAUGAUAGUAAAUAUCUGUUUGUUCA